rnacentral:rRNA from 1 species
ACGGAGGGUGCGAGCGUUGUCCGGAAUCACUGGGCGUAAAGGGCGCGUAGGUGGCGCGGUAAGCGGGUGGUGAAAGUCCGGGGCUCAACCCCGGAUCGGCCAUGCGAACUGCCGCGCUCGAGCACUGUAGAGGCAGGUGGAAUUCCGGGUGUAGCGGUGGAAUGCGUAGAGAUCCGGAAGAACACCGGUGGCGAAGGCGGCCUGCUGGGCAGUUGCUGACACUGAGGCGCGACAGCGUGGGGAGCAAACAGGAUUAGAUACCCUGGUAGUCCACGCCGUAAACGAUGGGCACUAGGUGCUUGGGGGAGCGACCCCUUGAGUGCCGGCGCUAACGCAUUAAGUGCCCCGCCUGGGGAGUACGGCCGCAAGGCUG